rnacentral:rRNA from 1 species
AUACGGAGGGUGCAAGCGUUACUCGGAAUCACUGGGCGUAAAGCGCGCGCAGGCGGCUUGAUAAGUUGGAUGUGAAAGCCUACGGCUCAACCGUAGAACUGCAUCCCAAACUGUCAGGCUAGAGUGUGGGAGAGGAAGAUGGAAUUAGUUGUGUAGGGGUAAAAUCCGUAGAGAUAACUAGGAAUACCAAAAGCGAAGGCAAUCUUCUGGAACACUACUGACGCUGAGGCGCGAAGGCGUGGGGAGCAAACAGGAUUAGAAACCCUAGUAGUCC